CCCAGCCAGAAAUUGUAUUUUUGUUGUUGUUCUGUUUUGGUUUUGUUGUUGUUAUUGUUUUCUUAGCAUCUACAUUAAAGGUGCAAACUGAAGGAAAUUCUUUAAGCAGAAAAACAAUACAUAAGAGAGACUUAGAAUAUCAGGAACAUGAUCCCACAGGACUGAAGAAUCUACUUUUCAACAGAUCCCCAGUGAUUUGCAUGCUCAUUUAAAUUUGAGAAGCUCUGCUCUGGAGAGGUCCUACAACACUUAUCCCCAAGAGGCCUGAGCUGCCCAGUUCCUGCUGCUCUGAGAAGGGGGGUUCCAUGCUCCCUUGGAUUCAAAGGCUCCUGUUGACUUGUCUUUUUCUAACUCUGGCCAGCUUGGUUUCUGUAUUUCUUUUUUUUUUUUUUUUUUUUUUCUUUUUGAGACGGAGUCUCACUCUGUCCCCCAGGAUGCAGUGCAGUGGCGCAAUCUCAGCUCACUGCAAGCUCCGCCUCCCAGGUUCACGCUAUUCACCUGCCUCAGCCUCCCGAGUAGCUGGGACUACAGGCACCCGCCAACACGUCCGGCUAAUUUUUUGUAUUUUUAGUAGAGACGGGGUUUCACCGUGUUAGCCAGGAUGGUCUCGGUCUCCUGACCUCAUGAUCCGUCCGUCUCGGCCUCCCAAAGUGCUGGGAUUACAGGCGUGAGCCACCGCACCCGGCCUCUGUAUUUCUUUUAGUCAAGAAAACCUUAUCAAUGCAUAUGGGCAGGUCUGGCGGGGACAGUAUGAUUCAAGGGGAGGCUGACCUUGCCCAGAGCAUCAGGCAGUUUGCCAUACAACGAAACGCCACCCACAGAGGGCCAGUCCUUUGUGUUCAUGAAUGUUUUGAGUCAGGGGAAAAAAUAAAUAGGCCAGGUGUGGUGGCUCAUGCUUGUAAUUCCAGCACUUUGGGAGGCCAAGGCAGAUGGAUUGCUUGAGCUCAAGAGUUUGAGACCAGUCUGAGCAACAUAGUGAGAUCUUGUCUCUACAAAAAAUAAAAAAUUAGCCAGGCAUGGUGGUAUAUGCCUGUGGUCCCAGCUGUUUGGGAGGCUGAGGCAGAAGGAUCACUUGAGCCUGGGAAGUUGAGGAUGCCGUGAACUGUGAUCACACCACUGCACUCCAGCCUGGAGGACAGAGCAAGACCUAAUCUGAAUAACAAAUAAAAUAAAAUCAUAAAUAAAUAAAUAAA